GCUUGGAGUAAUCCAGAUUUAGAUUAUCACUACUGUGCCUUCCUUCCUUCCUUCCACCCUCCUUUAGAUUAUCACUACUGUAUAAGCUUACCGUGAUUUGACUGUAGUGAUUCAAGUGUUUACAGCAAUCUGACUCUGAAUAUGGCAUACAGGUAUUCAUGACUGUGAACAUACAGUAAUGAUUCAAAUCUGACUGUAAUCCAUGACCAUGCCAGAUUCAGACUGAACAAAAUAUGACUCUAAUAUUACAGCAGCAGCUCCAGCUCCACCCUGGAUCAGCAGCAAUCGACGGGGGAAAAGUUGGCAUGGCGCCGCGAGUUUAUCACCAGGUCCCAUUGUUAAUUGUAAAACUAUUUCUUUUUCUCUUCAUUUCAUCAACCAUACACAAAUGCAAGCUUGAACAACGACCAUCCCACAACUCUGAUGCUUUGGUUGCUUGCCAUUGGAUAAUGGUUGUAGCUGAUCCCCAACGCUGUUCAGUAUGAGAACUGGACGACUGUGACCGACAUCCGGUUCUUGCUGGACGCGGCAACGAAUAUGAAAUCUGAAUUUGCGUAGCGUCAGUGCAGAUUUCAGCUGUAGGCUCUAGAUUGGUCUAGGAUAGAAUGGUGUAGAUGUUAUUGAUCUUUUGUCCAAAAAUGUGCGGAUGCAUGUAAAUGUUCCUUUGACCAAAACUCUAUUGUGAAAUGUUGGGAGUUAUUCUUAGGCAAAGUAAACAGUAUUCUUAGGCAGAGUAAAAAAGUUUGUUCAGUUAACACUUCCUUGCAUUCUUGGCAGUAGUCUGCUAGUGAUUUGCCUCAUCAUCAUACCAUACCAUAAGAAAAAGGGGAAGCAAAUUCUUAUGUUUUUGAUAACAGAUCAUCACAGAUCUUCACUAACCUAUUGUUUCUGUUUUACAUGGGCUAUGGCAGAUGGCAGAUGGCAGAUUAUUGAAUCAUGGAUGCUUUUCUGGCUUCUCCAGCAUUAACCAGUAGGUUCUCCAGUAGGCUGUCACUGUCUUUGACGGAGCAGAGGAGCAGUUUGUCCAAUUUGACUUCAGGCCGAGCAGAUGAGAAGAAAGGACCAGCAGACGAUCAAAGAAUGACACAGGCAUCAGCAGGGAUGCAAUUGAAUUGGAGGCGGCGGAUCAGCAUGUUCAAUCGAUGAGCGGGAAGCGCACUGGGAAGGCGGCGACGGUGGAGCUCGUCAAGGCGUCGCUGCUCCACGUCAUGGCGUGGUUCACCUCCAAGAUACCCUGCUGAUUCCUCGAACCUCGUGCUCAUCGAUUGGAGCGGACGGCGGGGGAGGAUGCCGGAAUGAUUGUAUUAUUGUGAUUCAUACUCAAUAUUUUUGAAUAAAACUUCAUACACAGUUCAUGAUCAGUGUCAUACAAUAUUUAUACAUAUAGAAUCUAAGUCCUGUCCAUAGCCAGCGAGAGAAAUAA